rnacentral:lncRNA from 1 species
CUCCAUUCCCUCUGCAUGAUUCCUCUAACUAAGCAGACUACUUGCAGGUCUGCACAAAUUCCUAAUGUAAUUAAUUCACACUUUGCCCCUCUCUUUCCUGUAGCCUGAUUCAUGGAACGAAGCCUUUUAUGUCAGACUCCAACUUGUCUUACCUACCCCAGUCUGCAUCACACUCUUCUGUCUUCCAAGCCUUGCUCUGCUUUUCUCUGACACUGUAUAACCUUAAGUACCCAAGGCCUCCACAUGGAUAGAACCUGAUCUCUCCUUAUCCUCAUCAGCUCCCUGUGUUGUCUCUAGUCUACUCCUUCUGUGUGGGACAGCGAAGACCCCUACCCAAAUUGACUACUCAGGAGCCACUCCAAGUGAAGAGGUCUAGGGGUUUUGGGGUGCUGGGACCUCAAGAUCACGGUACCAGGCCCUGCUGAAUGAAUUCAACUCAAAUCUUCAGCCAGAGGAAAAGUUUAUUAGUGAUAAAUCACAUUGACCAGGUGACGCCCAUAAAGACGAGCAUGCAUGAGAGAUUCUCAGCCUUGUGGGCCUGAGAUUCUCAGCAUCUGAAUGAGGGCCAAGGUGGAUCUUAAAUACUAAAGUAACUUUGGGCAGCCAGAGAAGGGGGUUGGGGAAAGGGUCUAGGUAAGAAUUCUAAUUGAGGAGGUCAGAGAGAUUGAAUAGACAAUGGAAAUAGAUAAUGGAGGAACAGGAAGGCAGAAGUUUGAAAGGCAUCUGCACAAAAUCAAGGUGGGGCUAGGACUUUCAAAAGGAGAUAAAGGAAGGCCUUUCUGGGGCCUAUAGACAAGAGGGAGCCUAAGGCUUUCAAAGGGAGAUGAGGGGAGUCGAUUAGGAAAUUUGAAGGUUUAAGGGUUUUUCUGGGUCCUGUAGACAAACAGGAGCCAGAUUCUAUUCAGGGCAAGGGUUGAAGGUGCAUCUGAAUAAGAUCUAAAGGUAAGCUAGGGCUGUGAGUCAGAUUCCCUUUUGGGGCAAAGGGCAAAGAUCUUGGCUUGGGCCCUGCCCCCAUCACAAGUAGGAUGCAGAAAAUUUAUUAGAAUCUCAUGAGAAGUGGGCAGUCCCACUACGAGCUGAAAGGACAACAGAAAUGCUCAUAGCAGGAGGGCUGCUCCCCUGAGCGCUUGUACAGUUUUUAUACAUUUUAGACAAAGAACCCCGAAAAUUCCACCUUCUAUACAUUGUGAUUGGCUAAAUAAACUUUUCUUUCCUUAUUCGGACA